rnacentral:misc_RNA from 1 species
GCAGACAUGUACACACCUACACACAAAAGGGCCACGUACACGAACCGUCUUCCGCCCCUCCCUCCGCGACGCGCCUCAUCGUAGGAAGGCAAAGGAAAGCCGAAGGCUCAACGCCACGCCGCCGCCGCUCUUCCGUCUCACACCUCUUCCCUUGCACGUCGCGCGUCCCUCUUGUUCUCUCCCCCUCUCUGUCUCACUGUGACCUGCACCUCAGCUCCCCUCCCCCCUCCCGCCGCGCGCGUGCGACUCGCGCUUUCAUCAUUUUCUUUUUUUUUUUCGCUCUAUUCUACAGAAGCCUCAACGACGGCCGCAGUGGCUGCAAUGCCGGCGAACUCCCACGCAGAACGGUUUGAGCGGGUUACCGUCUACGUGGACAUCGCAGAUGCAGCGAACGCGCCGGAGGAGGGGCGAGAGGACGUCGAGGAGGCGGCGAUGCUGCUGGAGCUGAUUCAAGCUUCUGCGGCAGCGGUCACUGGCCAGCUCGUUGUCGUUGAUAGCAGGAGUCUUGUGUCUGCCGAAGAGCAGGCAAGGCCUUCUCUGUCACCGGAGGCAGAUCCCGGCACCGCCUCUGAGGCCGCGUCGUUGAGUACGUCUACCACACUGCAACUGCUGCGUUACUGGCAGGCGGAGGAGGCAGAUGUGUACACGCGCGAUGUUAACAACACCGUUCCCUUUAUGAGGGCCUGGGAGUGCUUGAUCACAUCCAAGAACACACGAGACGGCGCCGUGACGUACGCGCUGCAUCGUCGACAGAUGCCGGUGCUGUCGCUGGCGCUAGCGCAGGCCGGCACGUCUACGAGGGCGCUAAAGAGCGCCCUGGAAGAACUGCUUUACACGUGCGUGCCAAGCGGUGCCACAUGGGAGGACAAAAGCGAUGCCGUCAUCCGCUUCUUUACGUUUCCGCCCGAGUUGGGCGCCUACGUUGUGGCGCCGUCCGUGAGCGCCGCAGACGACGCAAAGCCUCACCGCUACUCCGAGGCUGGCCCUGCGAGUGCUUCUACGGCUGCUGCUGCUGCUACGGCGGCGGUGGUGGUGAACAAGGACGGCUACCCGGUGCGCCUGCCGUGGACUCCGUCUCUGCUUCCGCCACCGCCUACGCGCUUUGCUGGUGUCUUGCGAGAAUUGUGCUUCGCGGACAGCGCGCAGAUGGCGAUGCUGCGGCGGCGCAACCCGCUUCUCCCGGGUGUUCUGGCUGCCUUUCAUCGAUACGGAAAUCGGGGCCUGCUGCGCAGUGCUCUGCAGCGCGGGUACCGUGUCGAGGUGGCAGAGGUGGCAGAGAGCGAUGAGGACGCCGCGUCGGCAGAGGACUGGGUGCGCAGGUUUGUGGAUCUCUCCAUCACCAACGACGAUGAAGCGGACUCACAGAGGAGGCAGGCAGCCGCCGCGGCCACCUUGAGGAACUUCGAGUCGACAUGGCUAGACCUGCCGCUGCCGCAGACCCAGCGGUGAGUGUGGCGAGCCCCUCGCCGUGCAUGGCUGAGGGCUUAGUGACGGCGCGUCACAUAUGACGUUGCUUUUGUCAAGAAGGGGUCGAAUCGCGGCCAUGUGACGUGCCGGUGGCCGGCACAAGAACCGCAACGUUCGUCUUGCUUCUCGAUGAGCGAGAAAUGGAAGGACACACAGACAGCCAAACGCGUGCGAAUUGUACCAUCUGGUUUUGUAUGGUGUGUAUGGGCGGCCUACCUGCCGUUGAUAUGCACCUGGGAUGUACGAUGGGUACUCCCCACGUAGCCCGCAUCCCGUAAUGCCUUGUGCUUGCAUGUUUCGCGUUCAGUGGGGGCUUUUCUCGCGCUCUUUGAGAAGUGUUUCGCUCUCUGGUGUGCUCUCACAAGCUUAUGCGCGAGUACAUAUGCGCGCUACACCACCAACGCAUCUCUCUUUCUCUGUGAACGUGUCCUUCUCGUGCGUCGCGCUUUCUCUACAUCGUCACGGCAUUGCUAUCCCCCUUCCCUUGCACCCUCUCCUUUCCUCUGUUCCACCGGAUGCUUUUCCUUUGUCGAGCUGGGCCCGCGAAG